CGCACCGGGUCAAAUAGUGCUGUAGUAUAAAAAAACAUGAUUUAUUUCUUUGAAGGAUUACUUGUCAAAAUAGAAAAAAUAUUUUACGAGUUGAAAUGUUAAAAUCAUUUUUGGAGAGCAAAGCAAAUGAUGACCAAUAUUUAUUUAGAUCUGACUUAAAACGAUGUUCGAUUCUACUCUCUGUUGUAGGCCUAAUUUGGUGGUGCUCUGAUGUUUUCAUAAGCAAAAGAUACCGUGUAGAAGUUUUACUAAAAUUUAAAUUUUUACAAUAUUUGUAUAAAGUUGUCUUCACUCUAUAUGUCGUCUGUUUCCUUCUUUUGUUUAUACAAAUAUAUAAAUAAUUUUUAGACUGGCUCAUAUUCA